rnacentral:rRNA from 1 species
UCAAGCGAACAAGUGCAUGUGGUGGAUGCCUUGGCGAUCACAGGCGAUGAAGGACGCGGUAGCCUGCGAAAAGCUACGGGGAGCUGGCAAACAAGCUUUGAUCCGUAGAUGUCCGAAUGGGGAAACCCACUCCUUUUGGAGUAUCCAUGGCUGAAUACAUAGGCCAUGCGAAGCGAACGCGGUGAACUGAAACAUCUAAGUAACCGCAGGAAAAGAAAUCAACCGAGAUUCCCAAAGUAGUGGCGAGCGAAAUGGGAUGAGCCUUGCACUCUUUAUUUGUAUUGUUAGCCGAACGCUCUGGAAAGUGCGGCCAUAGCAGGUGAUAGCCCUGUAGGCGAAAACAGUAUGAAAGAACUAGGUGUGCGACAAGUAGGGCGGGACACGUGAAAUCCUGUCUGAAGAUGGGGGGACCAUCCUCCAAGGCUAAAUACUCGUGAUCGACCGAUAGUGAACCAGUACCGUGAGGGAAAGGCGAAAAGAACCCCGGGAGGGGAGUGAAAUAGAUCCUGAAACCGCAUGCAUACAAACAGUCGGAGCCUCGUAAGGGGUGACGGCGUACCUUUUGUAUAAUGGGUCAGCGACUUACGUUCAGUAGCAAGCUUAACCGUAUAGGGCAGGCGUAGCGAAAGCGAGUCCGAAUAGGGCGUUCAGUUGCUGGGCGUAGACCCGAAACCAGGUGAUCUAUCCAUGGCCAGGAUGAAGGUGCGGUAACACGUACUGGAGGUCCGAACCCACUAACGUUGAAAAGUUAGGGGAUGAGCUGUGGAUAGGGGUGAAAGGCUAAACAAACCUGGAAAUAGCUGGUUCUCUCCGAAAACUAUUUAGGUAGUGCCUCGUGUCUCACCUUCGGGGUAGAGCACUGUCAUGGUUGGGGGGUCUAUUGCAGAUUACCCCGCCAUAGCAAACUCCGAAUACCGAAGAGUGCAAUCACGGGAGACAGACAUCGGGUGCUAACGUCCGGUGUCAAGAGGGAAACAACCCAGACCGCCAGCUAAGGUCCCCAAAUAUAGCUAAGUGGGAAACGAAGUGGGAAGGCUAAAACAGUCAGGAGGUUGGCUUAGAAGCAGCCACCCUUUAAAGAAAGCGUAAUAGCUCACUGAUCGAGUCGUCCUGCGCGGAAGAUGUAACGGGGCUAAGCUAUAUACCGAAGCUGCGGAUGCGAGCUUGCUCGCAUGGUAGGAGAGCGUUCCGUAAGCCUGCGAAGGUGCCUUGUAAAGGGUGCUGGAGGUAUCGGAAGUGCGAAUGCUGACAUGAGUAGCGAUAAAGGGGGUGAAAGGCCCCUCGCCGUAAGCCCAAGGUUUCCUACGCAACGUUCAUCGGCGUAGGGUGAGUCGGCCCCUAAGGCGAGGCAGAAAUGCGUAGCUGAUGGGAAGCAGGUCAAUAUUCCUGCACCAUUGUUAGAUGCGAUGGGGGGACGGAUCGCGGAAGGUUGUCCGGGUGUUGGAAGUCCCGGUCGCUGCAUUGGAGAAGGCGCUUAGGCAAAUCCGGGCGCGUAAUUCAAGGGUGUGGCGCGAGCUCCUUCGGGAGCGAAGCAAUUGGAAGUGGUUCCAAGAAAAGCCUCUAAGCUUCAGUCUAACGAUGACCGUACCGCAAACCGACACAGGUGGGCGAGAUGAGUAUUCUAAGGCGCUUGAGAGAACUCGGGAGAAGGAACUCGGCAAAUUGGUACCGUAACUUCGGGAUAAGGUACGCCCUUGUAGCUUGACUGGCCUGCGCCAGGAGGGUGAAGGGGUUGCAAUAAACUGGUGGCUGCGACUGUUUAAUAAAAACACAGCACUCUGCAAACACGAAAGUGGACGUAUAGGGUGUGACGCCUGCCCGGUGCCGGAAGAUUAAAUGAUGGGGUGCAAGCCUCUUGAUUGAAGUCCCGGUAAACGGCGGCCGUAACUAUAACGGUCCUAAGGUAGCGAAAUUCGCUUGUCGGGUAAGUUCGACCUGCACGAAUGGCGUAACGAUGGCCACACUGUCUCCUCCCGAGACUCAGCGAAGUUGAAGUGUUUGUGAUGAUGCAAUCUACCCGCGGCUAGACGGAAAGACCCCAUGAACCUUUACUGUAGCUUUGCAUUGGACUUUGAACCGAUCUGU